rnacentral:rRNA from 1 species
AUUGAACGCUGGCGGCAUGCCUUACACAUGCAAGUCGAACGGUAACGGGCCUUUUGGUUCCGACGAGUGGCGAACGGGUGUGUAAUACAUCGGAACGUGCCCGAUCUUGGGGGAUAACGAGGCGAAAGCUUUGCUAAUACCCCAUACGAUCUACGGAUGAAAGCUGGGGACCGCAAGGCCUUGUGCGGAACGAGCGUCCGGUGGUAGAUGAUGUAGUUGUUGGGUUACAAGCUUACCAAGCCGACGAUCUGUAGCUGGUCUGAGAGGAUGAUCCGCCACACUGGGACUGAGACACGGCCAAGACUCCUACGGGAGGCAGCAGUGGGGAAUUUUGGACAAGGGGCGCAAGCCUGAUCCAGCCAUGCCGCGUGCAGGAUGAGGGCCUUCGGGUUGUAAACUGCUUUUGUACGGAACGAAAAGCCUUCUUUUAAUACAGGAGGGUCAUGACGGUACCGUAAGAAUAAGCACCGGCUAACUACGUG